UCGCUGUAAAAUUGUAAAUCUUGCUGACAAAAGCGAAGCUAGGAUCGAGGACACGAGUACAAAUGCCCUGGGUCAGGGCCGGCAAAUACUAAAGCGCGCACUCUCUCUCUACUAUGGGCCUUUUCGGUGGGGCUGGGAGCCUUGGGUCUCCGUGAUGUAGGUGUUAGUGCUGCCAACGAGUUGAAUCAGACCAAUUAUUACAUAAUUUGAACAUCUGUUCAGCGUAUUAUUUUCAAAGUUUACA
rnacentral:lncRNA from 1 species